AUGCCCUCGGCUCAACCCCGGAAGGUCCUUGGAAACUGGUUAACUUGAGUGCAGAAGAGGAGAGUGGAACUCCAUGUGUAGCGGUGAAAUGCGUAGAUAUAUGGAAGAACCCCAGUGGCGAAGGCGGCUUUCUGGUCUGUAACUGACCCUGAGGCUCGAAAGCGUGGGGAGCAAACAGGAUUAGAUACCCCGGUAGUCCCCCCCGUAAACGAUGAACACUAAGUGUUGGGGGGUUUGCGCCUUUCAGUGCCGCAGCUAACGCAUUAAGCAUUCCGCCUGGGGAGUACGACCGCAAGGUGAAA
rnacentral:rRNA from 1 species